rnacentral:rRNA from 1 species
AUGGUUGAGAUAUUUGAUCCUAGCAAGGGCAGAUUCAUUGUACAAGACUUGGUUGGCGAAGUGUCUCUCGGUGCCGUGGAUGUUGAGUGCAUCUUGGCCUUGGAGAACCACGGACUGUCGGCAGAAGGUAUUCUCGGUGAGGAAGGUGAGGAUGUUAAAGAUCGAGUGCCGCCUCAAUUCCUGAGCAAGACCACAGGUAACAUAGUCAUCGAUGAUCUGAUUGUGGACAUCACAAAAAAUAAAUCUGCCGACGACGAUUUCCUUCGGAGAGUUGUCCUCGUGUUGCUUGGAACAGUUCUCGCUCCCAUGUCGAGCAAGACUGUACCAAAGCAAUAUUACGCAUUGGUGGACGAUGUGAAGCGUAUAUCCAAGAUUAAUUGGAAUGCAUUCACCCUCCGGGUUCUGCUGGACUGCCUUCGCAACGUGAGGAAAGGCAAACACCUCCACCAAUGGCCGAGAGGGAACUUAGCUCUCCUGCAGGUACACCUUUCAGACAUGUACCAUUGCAAAAAAAAAUAUGAUUGCUAA